GGGCGAGUCGUAUAGUGGUAGUACAGGGGUCUCCAAAACCUCUUGCGGGGGUUCGAUUCCCUCCUCGCCUG
rnacentral:tRNA from 2 species